AUUGAACGCUGGCGGCAGGCUUAACACAUGCAAGUCGAACGAGUGGCGGACGGGUGAGUAAUGCUUGGGAAUCUGGCUUAUGGAGGGGGAUAACGACGGGAAACUGUCGCUAAUACCGCGUACCAUAGGAUGAGCCCAAGUGGGAUUAGGUAGUUGGUGGGGUAAUGGCCUACCAAGCCGACGAUCGCUAGCUGGUCUGAGAGGAUGACCAGCCACACUGGGCAGGAGACCCGUCCCGGACUCCUACGGUGGGCAGCAGUGGUGAAUACUGCGCAAUUGGGGGAACCUUAAGCAGCCAUGCCGCGGGAAUGAAUGAGGGCUUCGGGUUGUAAAUUUCUUUCGAUGACGAGGCGUUAAUCACAGAAGAAGCACCGGCUAACUCCGUGCCAGCCGCCGCGGUAAUUC
rnacentral:rRNA from 1 species